CAGUCGCCGCGGUAAGACAGAGGAUGCAAGCGUUGUUCGGAAUUACUGGGCGUAAAGCGCACGUAGGCGGUUAUUCAAGUCAGAGGUGAAAGCCCGGGGCUCAACCCCGGAACUGCCUUUGAAACUAGAUGACUGGAAUCUUGGAGAGGUCAGUGGAAUUCCGAGUGUAGAGGUGAAAUUCGUAGAUAUUCGGAAGAACACCAGUGGCGAAGGCGACUGACUGGACAAGUAUUGACGCUGAGGUGCGAAAGCGUGGGGAGCAAACAGGAUUAGAUACCCCAGUAGUCCCUGUCUCUUAUAC
rnacentral:rRNA from 1 species